UUUGGCUACCUUAGCUUAUUCCUGGGAGUGGACUUUUUGAGAAUCAUUAGAAUUGCCUCUUCUGUGCCCUCUCCAGGAAACACCUCUUGCACAUAUGCUAAAAAUUUAACCUAAACCUGGAAAAUUACUUCUCGGGCUUCCAAUGAAGAGUCUAUUGGAUUGAGUUGCUGUUGGAAUAAGUACACCAUUGAAAAUUCUAAUUGUUAGGGGUAAAAAGAUGGAUCCUUAAAAUUGGACUUCUAAAUUUAAAAAAAAAAGGAUUUUAGAGAUCUCUCCUUCUAAACAAUUGCCUUAUUUUUAAGAUUAAAUUAAAAGACAAAUAACAGUGUCAUGGCUAGCCUUAGAAAUUCCCUUGAUAACAUUAAAGAGCAAAAAUAUAUGACCUUGGCUGGACCCAAAGGCUGGCUUCACCCAGUGGAUCCCCUACCGGGGCUGCAGGUGGAGCUGCCUGCCAGUCCCGCGCCGUGAGCCCAGGCAGAGGAGGCGCCGAGAGCGAGUGAGGGCUGUGAGGACUGCCAGUAUGCUGUCACCUCUCAGGGGGACUCAAGAUUCAGUGUAAAAGCAGGAUCCUUGAUAUGUAAAGAUCUAGAGGCUCUGCCUUUCAGCUGUGCCUGGUUUUCACAUAUUUAAAUAUUAGACCCU
rnacentral:lncRNA from 1 species